UACGUACGAGGCGAGCGUUAUCCGGAAUUACUGGGCGUAAAGCGCACGUAGGCGGCUUUGUAAGUUAGAGGUGAAAGCCCGGGGCUCAACUCCGGAAUUGCCUUUAAGACUGCAUCGCUAGAAUUGUGGAGAGGUGAGUGGAAUUCCGAGUGUAGAGGUGAAAUUCGUAGAUAUUCGCAAGAACACCAGUGGCGAAGGCGGCUCACUGGCCCGAUACUGACGCUGAGGCACGAAAGCGUGGGGAGCAAACAGG
rnacentral:rRNA from 1 species